GGCUGCUUCCUUCCUGCAACGUGGAGAGCUAUAACUCACCAGUGCCGGUUAGUGCUAUAGGGCAGGUCAUGGCAUGUGGGCAUAGCUGCGGUCUGUGUGCUCUGUAUUGAGGCAAGGCUAGUUGAACCAGUCUGUCCGUCCAUUGCUGGGAACCAGGAGUGAGUUAUGUGUAAGUGUGUGUGUGUGUGUGUGUGUGUGUGUGUGAUGAUAGAUUUGGAGGGCACCAUAUGCUGUGCGAACAUAUUUUGUUGUUUUUGUCACUUCCUCUCUGCAGGAUAACAGUUCUUUUUUGUUGAGGUUGUAAAGGAGUAACACCUAAUGCUAAGGUGUGUGGUGAAUGUGGAAAGGUGUGAGGGUUUCAUUUAGGCAGUUUUUUUGAUCAAUUUUGUGUAUGAUGUUCUGGUGAAAGUUGUUUGCUCUGGCUUAAGCCUUUUGUGUCGCUGUGACAAUCUUGCAAGAGGUGCAAAGGCUUGUUCUCACCUUCGCAGCGAUGUAUCUGGCGGCACAAAUCGUGAGUGAAAUCAUGAUUUUAGUUUGUGAGAAAACAUGUUGGUGUCGGCAGGGAAGCAGGAUGUGUGUCAAGGACCUCGAAGAGUUCAUGAAUAUGCAAAUGUCAUAGUAUCAAAGCAAUGCUCAAUUGUUAAUGACAAAUCUCAGGAUUUUGUGAAACAGCUCGAUUUUUCAACUUGACUUCUAGUUGAUGUUCAGUUACCUGUAAAUGGUCCACGUGGAGAGCUCCACAAAGCAGCGUAGCGUUUGACCACACCAUGUGCGGCCCCUUAGGAAUGCAAGCAUCUUGGAGUGCAAGCCGCAACAGGUUUAACCCACAUCGCCCUGUCAUCUGUGUCCCUGUCACAGGAGAACAAAGAGGGAUGACGAAAGCAACAACGGACAUUGAUGCAUCGUUAAGAAAUGCAAUUAAGAAUGUUUCAUUUCUGUUUUUUUUUUUUUUUUUUUUUUAAAUCUGAUGUAAGGACAUAAAUCGGAGUGUGCAUUUCAGCUAGCAUUAAAGAUCAUCCGUCACAUUUGUUUAGUCACAGAAAGUGCUGUGCAUGCAGAUCUGAGCACAAGCUUUGGUGUAAUUUAAUCAUUUUGAGCUCUUAAUUACACACCCAUACUGAUCUGAUGGAACCCCAUGUCACUGUGUGCAUUAUUUGUUAUUGAAAUGGCUCGAGUACAUUGAGCUCAGCAGCAGCAGGUCAGCGAGCUUUAAUUACAGUAUGAAUUAUUAUGAGUAUUAUUUAUUAGAUUGCCAAUGUGAGCACAGAUGUACCAUGAUAAACACCUAGUAUAUGCCGUAUUGCUGGUACAUCUGGUACCUCUGGUACAUCUACCAUAUACAGUGCCCUCCCCUGAUAUUGGCACCUUAUAAGCAAAGAAGGC
ensembl:lncRNA